rnacentral:rRNA from 1 species
AUUGAACGCUGGCGGCAUGCUUUACACAUGCAAGUCGAACGGUAACAGACCGCAAGGUGCUGACGAGUGGCGAACGGGUGAGUAAUGCAUCGGAACGUGCCCAGUCGUGGGGGAUAACGCAGCGAAAGCUGUGCUAAUACCGCAUACGAUCUGUGGAUGAAAGCGGGGGACCGUAAGGCCUCGCGCGAUUGGAGCGGCCGAUGUCAGAUUAGGUAGUUGGUGGGUUAAAGGCCUACCAAGCCGACGAUCUGUAGCUGGUCUGAGAGGACGACCAGCCACACUGGGACUGAGACACGGCCCAGACUCCUACGGGAGGCAGCAGUGGGGAAUUUUGGACAAUGGGCGCAAGCCUGAUCCAGCAAUGCCGCGUGCAGGAAGAAGGCCUUCGGGUUGUAAACUGCUUUUGUACGGAACGAAACGGCCUGGGUUAAUACCCUGGGCUAAUGACGGUACCGUAAGAAUAAGCACCGGCUAACUACGUGCCAGCAGCCGCAGUAAAAC